rnacentral:rRNA from 1 species
CCCUUAGAUGUUCUGGGCUGCACGCGUGCUACACUGAUAUUGCCAAUAUGUCAUUCUUAUCCGAAAUGGAUUGGGUAAUCAAGUAAUGAAAUUUCAUGCUUGGAAUCGGUAAUUGCAAUUUUAUCGUGAACGAGGAAUUCCUAGUAAGCACUAGUCAUCAGCUAAUGUUGAUUAUGUCCCUGCCCUUUGUACACACCGCCCGUCGCUACUACUGAUUGGGUGUUCAAGUGAGAUGCUUAGACCCUUGUUGCAUGGUUCAUUAUUGUGCUCCGAAGGAAAAAGUUUCAAGCUUGAGUGUCUAGAGGAAGUAAAAGUCGUAACA